rnacentral:rRNA from 1 species
UACGUAGGGAGCAAGCGUUGUCCGGAAUCAUUGGGCGUAAAGCGCGCGUAGGUGGCCUCGUAAGUCCGCUGUGAAAGUCAAAGGCUCAACCUUUGAAAGCCGGUGGAUACUGUGAGGCUAGAGUACGGAAGAGGCGAGUGGAAUUCCUGGUGUAGCGGUGGAAUGCGCAGAUAUCAGGAGGAACACCAAUAGCGAAGGCAGCUCGCUGGGACGUAACUGACACUGAGACGCGAAAGCGUGGGGAGCGAACAGG